UUGAACGCUGGCGGCAGGCUUAAUACAUGCAAGUCGAACGGUAACAGCAGGAAGCUUGCUUCCUGGCUGACGAGUGGCGGACGGGUGAGUAAUACCUGGGGAGCUGCCUGAAUGAGGGGGACAACACCUGGAAACGGGUGCUAAUACCGCGUAAGCCCUGAGGGGGAAAGGCUGGGCAACCAGUCGCAUUCAGAUGCGCCCAGGUGGGAUUAGCUAGUUGGUGGGGUAAUGGCCUACCAAGGCGACGAUCUCUAGCUGGUCUGAGAGGAUGAUCAGCCACACUGGAACUGAGACACGGUCCAGACUCCUACGGGAGGCAGCAGUAGGGAAUAUUGCACAAUGGGGGAAACCCUGAUGCAGCCAUGCCGCGUGUGUGAAGAAGGCCUUUGGGUUGUAAAAGCACUUUCAGUAUGGAGGAAGUGCAGUAUGUUAACAGCAUGCUGCAUUGACGUUACAUACAGAAGAAGCACCGGCUAACUCCGUGCCAGCCGCCGC
rnacentral:rRNA from 1 species